rnacentral:rRNA from 1 species
CCCAUACUAGCAUCAGCCUAUAUACCGCCGUCGACAGUCUACCUCAUGAGAGAAUAGUAGAUACAAUAGUUAACAACUAAUACGUCAGGUCAAGGUGUAGCAAAUGUAAGGGAAGAGAUUGGCUACAUUUUUUAUAUUAAAAAACACGAAAUGCACCAUGAAACAUUGCAUGAAGGCGAAUUUAGCAGUAAAACAAAUAAGAGUGUUUGUUUUAACACCGCUCUGGGACGCGU